UCCCUGGUGGCUCAGACAGCAUCUGCCUGCAAUGCAGGAGACCUGGGUGCAAUCCCUGGCUCAGGAA
rnacentral:tRNA from 1 species